GUGCCAUGCUAACACUAUGAUUUUAGAGUUAUGGGAGUUUACAUAUACAGUGUUCUUUUGUUUUUUUAUUGGAUUAGCUGACUCCUUUUGUGAUCCCUUUUGCGAAUUUGUGUUGAUUGUUUGAGUUGGCCUUUAAACAUCUGUCAUGUAUGAUUUUUAGUUUAUGGUUUCUAUAUUUGAGACAUCAUAAAAUAUUUGUAAGAACGCCUGAACUAAAUUGUUUGUUCUGUUUGAUCCAGUUAAUAUGGAAAAUAAUGCUAACAUUUUGUGCAAAUUAGUUAAUCAGGCAUUGCCUCUGGUAUGCCAAGUUACUCUAUUCUACCAAAUGGUUCAAUAAUUCAGGCUCUAUUGUCUAUAUGCCUACCUAAUCCACAUUCAGCCUGAGCUCCCUCAGAAAAAUUAUAGCCUUCAAGGUUUGUCCACAGGACAAAUAUUACAGUUGCAGUUUCGUCUCAGAAACAACCACUGGCUACAGCUACACCUGCCACAGCUGCUAAACAAUUGGAUAGUGGGAACAUACCUCCUCGAAGCAAAAGAAAUCCAUGUUCUGAUGUAGAAGAUUUGGUACUGAUUGCUAUUGUAAAAAGAUGCGGUGAAGGUAACAUCUUAAUCCAACGUUUUGCAUAUUGUUUGCAUUGACUUGAAUCCUAAUGAAAUUGUUCUAUUCUUCUAAUUUUACAAUUUUUUUAAAUAUAUACAGAUGUUUUAUUCUUAUUAUUUUACUUCUUCUUCUUCUUAUUAUUAUUUUAUUAAAUUAUAAUUAUGGUUUUUUCUCCCACUAUAAUGGAAGGAAGGAGAGGUUGUUCUCGAAAUUCUAAUAACUCACCUUUGUAUGAUAGUCCUUAAAAGCUGAUGGGGAAGAGGCAAAUUCCAAUGUCCAUAUUCAGGGAUAAAACAUGCAUUGAAUAGUAUGUCAUCUCCUUUUUAUAAAAUUAGUACACCUUAAAUAUAGAAAACAUUUAUUCAGUCGUUCAGCUAUUCUCCUGACUACAAUGUUGUCAAAUUAGAUAUACAAAGGAGAGAGGUGUGUGGAUGUUAACACCUCCAUUAAAAUGACCAUAUAUUUUUAUACAGGGUUAAUUUUCAAUGUGACAUGCCGCGUGUACCAAUUUCCUGUAAUACUUAAUAUAUAUCUGAUUUAUUUUUUUAAAUUCGCAUUUGUAGGAUAAACAUAUCUAGGCAGGAACUUAGGGAAUGCAUUUUGUGGUUUUAAUUGUGAAAGCUGAAGACGUAAAUCAAGUAUGUUCUAAAUCAGUUGAUAUAGAUUCUCCACCGUCAUGUAAGCAUCUUUCUAUUCUCAAAAUCAUUCUAAAAUGCAGUAGCCUCUUAAAUGAAGUUUGAUACCCGAACAGAAAUCAUAAAGGCAUUGUCCGAGGAUGCAGCCGUAAAAGAUAAGGGGGACUGAAUGACUAUGUUUCUUUGAUUCAGUGGAUCAUCUCUUCCACUUCUAAGUUUUCUAAUAUUCUGUAGCAGCUUUUUUAGCUUAUAAGAUAGAUAUAUAUAUAUAUAUAUUUAGCUAUUUUAUGUUCAUGGAUCCAAUUUAGUUCUAAAGUAGCAGCUAUCCAUUAUCAAAUAAGAUAUAUUUUUCUUCUCAUGACAGGUUGCAUAUGGAACUUCUUGAAGAUCAGUUACAGAAGUAGGAGUUGAUCAAGUCCUCUCAUUUCAGGUUCAUUUUCUUUAGUACUAUUGGGUUUAUUGAGUCGUCUCAUUUUGAGGUUUUGAAUGUUUCACUGUAUUUCUUUGCAUUCACUAUGUGUGUUCUUAUUAUUUCAUAUUCCAAUUUGUUUUGCUUUACAGUGGAUUUGUCAAAUAUUUAUGGUGGCUCAUUCCAUGAAAAUGGAAUGUACUUGGCAACUUUUGAGGCAAGAAAGUUGUUGCAGCAGUGGACCUUGGUAAAAUGUAGAUUUAUUUUGUUUUUUUGGUGUAAAUCUUUUUUCUAUAUAAACGUAGCUACAUUAGAAUUGUCAUUCAGUUGUUUUAUAUACUCUAGAUUACAUUGUAACAUUGGAAAGUGAUGAAUUUGUUUACACUUAUGAUAACAUGACAAAAAUAGUGCAGG
rnacentral:lncRNA from 1 species